CCCAAAGGAACUGGAGGGGAGAAGCGGAGGAUGUCUGUGCGCAUCGCACAGACCCUCACCAGCUGCCAGAGAGGAUCCAGGCCCCCUGCAGCGCUGCAAGGAAUUUGGAUUUUAGUGCGCUAUGUGCGCAACCUCCGCUACUUCCCUUCACUUCUACCUGCCCCACCAGGGGUUAAUAUAUCAACAGAAGAAAAACGGGGCAAAUAAGCACCACUGGGUUAAUACUCAUGAUUACAGUUUCUGGAUGCUUCAAUCUACAUCUUCCAAGUUUCGUCAAUUGAUCGUGAUGCGUUUUUUUCUUCAUGGAUGCAAAGAAAGGAAGUUUUUCUGUCAGAGAAUGUAUUUCUAAGUAUUGUUGUUUACUGAUUGGUGGAUGGAUUUCUUCAGUAAAAAAAGCAAAAAAACAGAUUAACUUUAAUUCCUGCACGAAAUUUUUAAUAAAAUUUGACUUUACGUCAUUACAUUA